GUGAGGAAUUUUCCGCAAUGGGCGAAAGCCUGACGGAGCAAUGCCGCGUGAAGGAUGAAGGCCUAUGGGUUGUAAACUUCUUUUCUCAGAAAAGAAUUAUGACGGUAUCUGAGGAAUAAGUAUCGGCUAACUCUGUGCCAGCAGCCGCGGUAAGACAGAGGAUGCAAGCGUUAUCCGGAAUGAUUGGGCGUAAAGCGUCUGUAGGUUGUUUAAAAAGUAUUCUGUCAAAGAUUAGGGCUUAACCCUAGAUAGGCAGAAUAAACUUUUAAGCUAGAGUUUGGUAGAGGCAGAGGGAAUUCCCGGUGGAGCGGUGAAAUGCGUAGAUAUCGGGAGGAACACCAAAGGCGAAGGCACUCUGCUGGGCCAAUACUAACACUGAGAGACGAAAGCGAGGGGAGCAAAUGGGAUUAGAUACCCGUGUAGUCC
rnacentral:rRNA from 1 species